AGAACGAACGCUGGCGGCAUGCCUAACACAUGCAAGUCGAACGAGAUCUUCGGAUCUAGUGGCGCACGGGUGCGUAACGCGUGGGAAUCUGCCUUUCGGUACGGAAUAACUCAUGGAAACGUGUGCUAAUACCGUAUGAUGUCGCGAGACCAAAGAUUUAUCGCCGAGAGAUGAGCCCGCGUAGGAUUAGCUAGUUGGUGGGGUAAAAGGCCUACCAAGGCGACGAUCCUUAGCUGGUCUGAGAGGAUGAUCAGCCACACUGGGACUGAGACACGGCCCAGACUCCUACGGGAGGCAGCAGUGGGGAAUAUUGGACAAUGGGCGCAAGCCUGAUCCAGCAAUGCCGCGUGAGUGAUGAAGGCCUUAGGGUUGUAAAGCUCUUUUACCCGGGAAGAUAAUGACUGUACCGGAGAAGUAAAGCCCCGGCUAACUCCGCGCCAGCAGCCGC
rnacentral:rRNA from 1 species